rnacentral:rRNA from 1 species
CUACGGGUCGCUCCAGUGGGGAAUAUUGGACAAUGGGGGAAACCUUGAUCCAGCAAUGCCGCGUGUGUGAAGAAGGCCUGCGGGUUGUAAAGCACUUUCGGUUGGGAGGACUGCUUCUAGCACUAAUAUUGUUGGAAGUUGACGUUACCUUCAGAAGAAGCACCGGCUAACUCCGUGCCAGCAGCCGCGGUAAUACGGAGGGUGCAAGUGUGAAUCGGAAUUACUGGGCGUAAAGCGCGCGUAGGCGGCUAGAUCAGUCGGGUGUGAAAGCCCCGGGCUUAACCUGGGAACUGCAUCCGAUACUGUCUAGCUUGAGUACAGGAGAGGAGAGUGGAAUUCCACAUGUAGCGGUGAAAUGCGUAGAUAUGUGGAGGAACACCAAUGGCGAAGGCAGCUCUCUGGCCUGAUACUGACGCUGAGGUGCGAAAGCGUGGGGAGCAAACAGGAUUAGAUACCCUCGUAGUC